GAUGUUGCUCAGUGGUAGAGCACUUGCCUAGCAUGUGUGAGACCCUGGGUUUAAUCCCCAGCAUC
rnacentral:tRNA from 1 species